rnacentral:tmRNA from 1 species
GGGGCUGAUAUGGUUUCUACAUAUUGGUAUGUGAAUUAAGUUUAAGUUGAUUUAUUUUUUUGUUUUAUACUAAUUUAUUAGUAAUUACUUUCUUAUUUAAAUGCAAAAAACAAUAUAUUAGUUUUUUCUAAAAGUUUAGCUUUAGUAUAAGUUUUUAGAAUAUUGAAUUAUAUCUUUUCUAGUUAAUUCGAUAGAUAUGGUAGAGAUGCUCUUAAGGCUAAUUUUAUAUAUUAAUAUAGCAAAUGUAGUCAAUUAGUAAAGUCAUUUUAAUUUUUGGUGUUCUAGUAAAUCAACUUAUUGAUCACAAACUUAUGUAAUAUUUCAAUAUGGACGUGGGUUCGAGUCCCACCAGUUCCA